GACGAACGCUGGCGGCGUGCUUAACACAUGCAAGUCGAACGGAAAGGCCUGCUUUCCCUUGUGGAUUGCGGGUACUCUAGUGGCGAACGGGGGAGUAACACGUGAGUGAUCUGCCCCCAACUUGGGUAUAAGCCUGGGAAACUGGGUCUAAUUCCCGGUAGGACUGCAGGGUGGUGCCUGUGGUGGAAAACGAUUUUCCAGUGGUUGGGGAUGAGCUCGCGGCCUAUCAGCUUGUUGGUGGGGUAAUGGCCUACCAAGGCGGCGACGGGUAGCCGGCCUGCGAGGGGGAGCGGCCAGACUGGGAGUGAGGCAAGGACCAGAGGCCUACGGGAGGCAGGAGGAGGGAAUCGGGGGCGAUGGACGAAAGUGUGACCGAGCAACGCCGGGGGAGGGAAGAAGGGUGUCGGAUCGUAGGGCGAGGGUGGAAGAGAAGAACGGGUGGGAGAGUGGAAAGUGCAGACUGUGACGGUAGAUGACCAGAAAGGGACGGAUAACUACGUG
rnacentral:rRNA from 1 species